CUGGACUGGGGAGAAUGUAGGUCAGUGAGUACAAGUGACAUUCGACAAGGACGUAACAGUUUGAUCUCCAUGAAGUAAAGAGGAAAAAAAGGUCCUGGUGCAAAAGAAGAAAGAUUGUCGAUGUAAAGCUACAUAAUGAAAUUCUCAGAUUCUCUAAAAAUUUACAUCUUCAAACUUGUCUGAGGCCAUCAUGAAGCAGAGGAAAGGUCUUCUGAAGAUUAGCUCUGAUGCUUAGAUCAACCUGGGAAAGCCUAGCAGCAUACCCCAUGGAGCGAGUGUGCCACAUAAUGCUGGCAUGCUGUGGAGAUGUGCUGGACACUUGGAGACCUGGGGGAGGGGCAGCGGUCUUCUGAGGAGGAAGAUGAGGCCAAUGAGCAGGAGCAACAUCACCUUCAGCAUGAGAGAGAUAGCUGUGAAGCGCUUUGUACAACAAGCCAGUUAGGUUUGAAAGCUGGAUAUGGUGAGCACUUGAUUUUGUAAAUAUGUUAUUGUUGUUCAAAAUGCAAG